AAUUGUAUAUUUUUCUCUGAAAUGUCCAAAUUAAUUUACUUUUAUUCAUCAUACAUACACACCUUCACGAAAGUAGGAAUAAAAAUUUUCAUUUGCACUCAAUAAAAAUGGUCAUCACGAGUCAGUAUCUUAUGCAAUAACGCAAUCAUUAUUAAUACGUUAAGUUAUCUACAAUCAACUCGUCUAAAAUUGCAUAUCCCCUCCGAAAACGAAUCAUGCGGGUCUGUCGUCAUCGUGUUUAAUCGAGCGCAGAAAAUUGUUCACCGAUUCUUUAGUUAAGCGCACGCUAUCGUUGUGAAUUUCGCGGAUAUGAUCAAUAAUUUCGCGAUGCACUUAAACGUGCCUUAUAAGCAUGCACACGUUAUGGAAUAGCUUACUUUCAACGUCUUAAUUUAUUGUACGUUGCAACCACGGCUGGAAUCGUUCGUAAAUGUUACACACUGGGUUCUUAAUGUAUAUCUGUUUCGUCCCAGUUAUUACACAAAUAUAUUGUUCCUAAAUCCACACACACACACACGUGGGCUCUCUAUACUUUCCACUCUCGUACACGCAUCGCUGCCAAGAUAGUUUUAUUACGAGUAUACUCCUAAUUACACCAUACUUUACGCGCAACAUCAAAGUGCGGUUACUAACGGUAAAAGAACGGAUGGUCUAAAAACAGCCAGUUUUGCACCGGUUCUUAAUUGCUUUGCAAAUCUCUACGAUAUCAUUAAUCUCGCUUGCGAACAACCCGAGCACUUGCCUUCAAGAUAAACAUCAUGUGGUCGAUUUAUAUGCAUUCGUGACACAAAGUAAAUACAAAAUACAAGAGGAGCCAAGCCACAAGCACGACAACAGAAAGAGAGAAUCACGUCC